UACGGAGGGUGCAAGCGUUAUCCGGAUUCACUGGGUUUAAAGGGUGCGUAGGCGGAUAUGUAAGUCCGUGGUGAAAUCUCUGGGCUUAACCCGGAAACUGCCAUGGAUACUAUGUGUCUUGAAUGUUGUUGAGGUGAGCGGAAUAUGUCAUGUAGCGGUGAAAUGCUUAGAUAUCGUAAGGAAGACCAGUGGCGAAGGCGGGUCUCUGGACAGUUCCUGACGCUGAGGCACGAAGGCCAGGGGAGCAAACGGG
rnacentral:rRNA from 1 species